rnacentral:rRNA from 1 species
UCCUAUGGUUAUACCACUCUGAACACUCCCGAUCUUGUCUGAUCUGGGAAGCUUAAGCCAGGGUGAGGCCUGGCUAGGACUUAGAUGGGAGAUAGCCAAGAAAGUCUGGGUGCUGUAGUCU